CAUAACAAUAUAAGAACCGGUGUUUUGAGGUCGCCGCGUGUAGUUCGCAAUUAUCAUUUGUCGAGUGCACUUCGGCCUAGACACGGGUUUUUAUUUUGUUUAAUUAUACAGUCCGAGUAAAUCAGCCGAGAUGGUGGACGAGAGGAGUAGCUUGACAAAAGUAACCGGCAAGACCAAGGGAGUGUUUCGAAACGCCAAGUACGGGUCGACUAACGACCAGAAACAAGUCAUCGACACCAAACAGAAAUACCGGAAAUUAAAAUUCUUAAAGAAGCUGUGGAGGUGGAGGUCGAGUUCAGGAAAGAAAACCAAUGAAGAAUUAUUGGAAGAAGGUCCAAAUAUUGAACAGAACAAAGUUACGUUAGUCACAUACGCACUUUGUUUUAUUAUGAUGCUGGCUGGUCUGUCAGUAAAAAUGGAUUGAUCUCGGAUCGUCUAUUAUAAAUAUUCAUAUUUUUUUAAAUACACAUAUUAUAUAAUAAAUAUGUGUGUGAACACCAAGGCUGAUUAUAGCUGGGGGUGCAUUUUAGUUAUGAUAUUAUUUUGAUGCCUUUUAAGUGGCCGUAUGGCUCGAUAUUGUUGUUGUGUUGUGUUGUGUUAGUGCGUUACCUAUGUAAUAAAUCAGUGAACUGUGAACCACGAUAAUAUCAUUAUACUACGCAAUGAUUACUAUAAUAGUUAUUUGAUAUGAUACAUUUUCCAAAAUUCGUGUUAGACAUAUCACAUGCUAUUAGUUUUUUGACUUUAAACUAUAAUUGCAUUUCUAAUUAAAUUCUUAUUUCCAAAAAUGCAACAACAUAAUUGUACUAUGUACCCAUAGUUUAAAUAUACAAGGUUAUUUCACAUAGCCCAUAUUGUUAUCAAACAAAAAUAAAGUGACAGCGUAAGGAUACGUAUCAUAGUAUAGCCAGUAUAGGUUGUCCCCUUACGCUGCCAUUUUAAUUUCUUAACGUGAUAAAAUGAUAUAGUGGGGGUAAUACUGCCCCAACUUGUUAUCAAAAUCAAUUAAUUUUUAUCAACAUGUAAAUACUUAUUUUGUUUUUAUAAAAAAACACGAUUCCAACAACGAUUUUAGCAUAUAAUAUUCCAUCUCAUGCUAGACAGGUUUUAUCUUAUCAGUUACCAAGUUUUCCACUUCAUCACAUACUUCAAUAUUAUGUUAGGAUUUUUUUUUUCCAAACACGAUUCUUGUUUUUAAUAGUCACCCUUAAAUAUUAACUGGAUAAUGAUAGUGGAUUAUUGUAUAAUAGAUCUUAAUAAUAUACGGUUAUUAUUGUUAUUAUUGUAAAUAUAUAGUUCUUAAUUAGGUAAUGCUAUUAUAGAAACUCGUUUAAGAACACUUAUUAAAUGAUAAUUUAUACAAUAAGUGUCUAUUUAUUUUUAACUAUUAUAAUUAGUACAUAUAUUUACCUAACAUUACUAUAAUAAUGAGAAAGAGAUACACGAAUAUACGAUUAUAAAUAUAUAACAGUUAAUAAGACAUUUAUUAUAUUAUUUAUACAAUAUAAUAUAAUUAUUUUGUUGUAUACUUGUAUUAUUUAAUUGAGAUAUUAAAUAAUCACAAAUAUUAAUAUUUGUAAUAAUAAUUUAUACCUACUUAAACAUUCAUUUGCUGUUUAAUGAAUUAUCUAUAGAAAAAAAUAUUUUUUCUUAAUUCUGAAUUAUUUUGUUAUUUUGUAUUUUAGUUUUUAUCAUCUAGGUAAUACCUAUUGUUAUUGUAAUUAUUAUAUUGUAAAAUUAAAUGAAUAAAAUAAAAUACAUAUUAAUAAAUAAAA